rfam:Kluyvera intestini strain GT-16 tig00000000, whole genome shotgun sequence.
CGCGGGGUGGAGCAGCACGGUAGCUCGUCGGGCUCAUAACCCGAAGGUCGUCGGUUCAAAUCCGGCCCCCGCAA